UCAAGGACGCCGCCGUGCCGGACGAGGACACGUUCGAGAUCCACGACCCGCGCAACCCCGUCAACAAACGGAGGAGAGAGGAGAGCAAGAAGAUCAUGAAGGAGAAGAAGGCCAAGAGGUUCGAACAUCUGGAUUGAGAAUGCCGACCCUGUAAUCUGUGAUGGAAAGGUUCUCCUGGCCGGGAGCAGCUGCAGCCCGGACGACGUCCAGUGACUCGUCGGGAUGAAGAGCAAGGUCACGGUCAAGGUCAAGGUCGCGACCAAGGUCGUCAUUGGAUUACAUGUGACGUUGUUUGUUCCCUUUUGUUAUGCCGUUCUUCUUCUGCUUAUGUUGUUCAGAGCUUAAAUGUGACUGUUAAACUUUAAAAGUAAAUAGCAUUUGUAAACAGA